UACGUAGGAGGCAAGCGUUGUCCGGAAUUACUGGGCGUAAAGCGCGUGUAGGUGGUGGGACAAGUCUGCUGUGAAAAGCGCCUGGCUUAACCGGGCGAGGUCGGCGGAAACUGUCCGACUCGAGGACGGUAGAGGGGGGUGGAAUUCCCGGUGUAGUGGUGAAAUGCGUAGAGAUCGGGAGGAACACCUGUGGCGAAGGCGGCCCCCCUGGGCCGGCCCUGACACUGAGACGCGAAGGCGUGGGGAGCGAACGGG
rnacentral:rRNA from 1 species